CGGGAGUCGAGGGGACUCGUGGGUGGCAGGGAGCAAGGGAGCACGGAUUCCUAAGCCUUGUCCUAGUCGGGGACGGACCGAUACGCGGACAGCCCAUUCCUGAGGAAUUAAGGCCCCCACCCAGGUGGAGGAUGGGAACUACAGCUGAGACCCCAGACUGAUCGGAACAAAAGGAGUGAUGAUGUUGACCUUUUCUGACUUCAAUCAACUAAAGCUUGAACUCUGUCCACCUUUGCCCCAAUUCUAUGCUGAAUCUCCUCUGCUCAAGCCACUUCAUGAAUAUGCGUACACUGCCCAAUUCCCUUCAAGAGUAUGCAUGUACCCUUAGCUUAAAACUUCAAUUUUGCUGCUUUGGGGAAGAUCCCUUGUGUUUUCCGUACUUGUUGCAGGUAAUUAAUCCUUCCUUCUCCCA